rnacentral:lncRNA from 1 species
AGAAAAUCACAAAGUAAUGACAUUUUUUGCAAGGUACAGAGCAAUGACUGAUACGAUCAAAUAUCAAUAAACAUCAGCAGAGUCAAGUAUGCAUGCCAAUGUCAUUAGCAAAGUACAGAGUAAUGACUGACAUAAUCAAAAUGUCAACAAACAUCAGCAGAGUCAAGUAUGCAUGCAAAUGAUAUUUUCAGGGUGAUCAGAUCAAAGAAAAUAGCCAUACAAAUACUGAAU